AUGCGGAUUUAUUUGGUUCAGUUUGCUAUACUUUUCAGCAUGGACAGUUUCAUAAGCGAUAUGGUGAUCUAACUCGAGUUGAUGCUUGUUUGGACAUAUUUUCACUCUCAUCAUUUGCCAAAAGAGUUUUCAAAGGUUCUUCUAGUGCAGACAAAUCUCAAUUAUCUCCCAGACUAAAUUUGAUCUUUCAACAGCAGGUUGAGGGCCAAUAGUGUUUCGAGUGGAUUCAAAGUUGUUGCUUGAUUCUAAGGAUGAGAAACGAGGCCCUCAUAUUGAAGAUGUCAUAUACAGUCUGUGCUACUCAUUGAGGCUUCUGCGUUCUGGAAAAGUUGUUGCUUGGUAUUCUCCAAAGAGAAAGGAAGGGAUGAUAGAAUUGCGCCUUUUUGAAUUCUAAAUCAUGUUGUGUCAUCUUUAGUUUCCUAUGAUUGUUUCUGUUCAGAACACAAACUAUCUUGUGGGGGCAAAUACUUUAACAUAAGCAAAUUUCUUCAUCUGAUUAGUAGAGUAUGAGAUUGUUGUGAAGUAUUGCAGCUGAAAUACCAUCUUUAUUGCCCUUUUUUU